CAGCAGCCGCGGUAAUACGAAGGGGGCUAGUGUUGUUCGGAAUUACUGGGCGUAAAGCGCACGUAGGCGGAUCGAUCAGUCAGGGGUGAAAUCCCAGGGCUCAACCCUGGAACUGCCUUUGAUACUGUCGAUCUGGAGUAUGGAAGAGGUGAGUGGAAUUCCGAGUGUAGAGGUGAAAUUCGUAGAUAUUCGGAGGAACACCAGUGGCGAAGGCGGCUCACUGGUCCAUUACUGACGCUGAGGUGCGAAAGCGUGGGGAGCAGACAGGAUUAGAGACCCCCGUAGUCCCUGUCUCUUAUAC
rnacentral:rRNA from 1 species